UCUACCCCAAUUCAUUCAAAUUCUUUAAAAAUCCAUAUGAAUUUUGUAGAAGUUUUUCUUAAAUCCUAUCAUUCUUCCCUUCACUCGUCUGUUCACAGUUCACAGUAACAAAUCCAAAUCCUUCCUCUUCAGGCUUCACACUGCGAAUCCUUCCCCUCCGCUUUGUUCCAGGCUUCCAAUUUCGUGCUCUAAUUCGAAUGGUUUCUCUUUCUCUUUAUUUUUGUAAUUGAAUCCCCCCGAAACCUAUGGGAAUGCUAAGACCGUGCUCUCUCUCGUCCUUAUACGCCCGACUCCUCUCUCUCUCGGCGUCGUCUGAACGACUCCUCUUUUGCGACCGCAUCUGCUUGACCCUUCCGGCGUCAGCCACCACUCUCCGCUGCGUCGUCGUCUGAUCGACUCCUUUCUCGCGUCCUCGUCUGCUUGACCCCUUCGGCCUCAGCCAGCACUCCCCGCCGCGUCGGCUGAUCGACUCCUCCCGCGUUCUCAUCCUGCCCGACGACCUCGCCAGACCAUCCCACCGACCACUGAAACUCAAGUCGCAGAUAAUUGUUGAUGUUUACGAAAUCAUGGAUUUUGUUUUUCACAGAUGUGAAAGUCCCCUAUUGUUUAUUCUCUUGCCGCUUGAUUUCGGCUUUGCUCUUUGUCCAGGGCAUAUAAUCUGCAAGCUGCACCAAACAAUUCACUAUUUUUGUCCUGAAUAGUUGAAGAUAAGCCAGUUCAGCUUAAUUUCAGAAGUUAGUCUAGUCUGAAGAUAAUUUGGUGCAACAAACGCACAUUGUCCUGUCGACAAAAGUGGCAGAGUUCCGAAGCAAAAUAAGGGAUUAGAAAGAUCGUGAGUCUUCAGAUUACUGAAUAGUAGAGAAGUAGACGUGAUAUAUACCUGGUCGAUGGAAUGUCCAUACUUUUGUUUGUAACACUCAAAUGUUGCUCGUAGUUGAAAGAUGUUCCUUGUGCUGAGUAUCCAAACAACAUGAUCAUGAUCGUAUUGCUUUGUUUCGAUGGCUUCAUGUAACCUAGAUGCCUCUGAAUCGGCAAUGCCUGUAUCCACCAGCUGCCUAUCGUACCUGUACGAGAAGCCGUGCCAACCAACAGUA